CUCUUACCUGUCUAGCAUCUGUCUGUUACCUGUCUAACCUCUAUCAAUCUACCUGUCUGUCUGUCCAGGUGUGAGCUGCAGCCUCGGGCCAGCCGUAUCCCCAUCAGGAGGGCGGAGUCAACCACAGACACGCCUACUGCUGGCCUUAACCCCGCCUCUUCUGGCAGCUGGGAGGACUCAACUACUAUGAGGGUCUGGAGACUCCUGAAACCUGGCCUCCGCAGACACCUAGGUGUGUCGGAGAAGGAGGUUCCUUCGUUGCGUGUUGUUUCCAGAGCGCUGCUGAAGAACACGGACAGGAGAUCCCUCUACACACAUUCCAGUACUGAAGACACCACAGAGCCCCAAGUUUGUGAGGAGAAGACCGGUUUGGAGGCAGAGGCAGUGUGUGAAACAGCACCCCUGUGUGGAGAGGCAUGAUAACUACACCUUCCCCAACCAGGACAGUGGGGACCAGUGUGCCUGACUGACACACACACUUCCCUCCGAGAGACCAGGCACCUGUUAGCACCAAAACACCUUUUAGACACAACUAUUUUAUUAAAUCUUUUUAAACUGUGUGAUUCUUAUACGUGUGUGUGUGUGUGUUGAAAUACUGCAAUGUAUAAUGUGUAAUGUAAAGCUUCUUGUGUGUUAGCUGCUGUAAAUUCCUCUGUAUCACCUGUAAACUAUAAUAAUCUGAAAAUAUCAUGUAUUUAAUGACCUGUAAACUAUAAUAUUCUGAAUAUAUCAUGUAUUUAAUGACCUGUAAACUAUAAUAAUCUGAAUAUAUCAUGUAUUUAAUGAGCUGUAAGGUAUAAUAAUCUGAAUAUAUCAUGUAUUUAAUGAUCAUAGGAAAGCCUUCCCCUCUCUCACAGCAUUCCUAUAAAGGCUCCUGUAUACAGUGAGGGGAAAAAAGUAUUUGAUCCCCUGCAGAUUUUGUACGUUUGCCCACUGACAAAGAAAUGAUCAGUCUAUAAUUUUAAUGGUAGGUUUAUUUGAACAGUAAGAGAUAGAAUAACAACAAAAAAUCCAGAAAAACGCUUGUCAAAAAUGUUAUAAAAUGAUUAGCAUUUUAAUGAGGGAAAUAAGUAUUUGACCCCCUCUCAAUCAGAAAGAUUUCUGGCUCCCAGGUGUCUUUUAUACAGGUAACGAGCUGAGAUUAGGAGCACACUCUUAAAGGGAGUGCUCCUAACCGCAGCUUGUUACCUGUAAAAAAGACACCUGUCCACAGAAGCAAUCAAUCAGAUUCCAAACUCUCCACCAUGGCCAAGACCAAAGAGCUCUCCAAGGAUGUCAGGGACAAGAUUGUAGACCUACACAAGGCUGGAAUGGGCUACAAGACCAUCGCCAAGCAGCUUGGUGAGAAGGUGACAACAUUUGGUGCGAUUAUUCGCAAAUGAAAGAAACACAAAAGAACUGUCAAUAUCCCUCAGCCUGGGGCUCCAUGCAAGAUCUCACCUCGUGGAGUUGCAAUGAUCAUGAGAACGGUGAGGAAUCAGCCCAGAACUACACGGGAGGAUCUUGUCAAUGAUCUCAAGGCAGCUGGGACCAUAGUCACCAAGAAAACAAUUGGUAACACACUACGCCGUGAAGGACUGAAAUCCUGCAGCGCCUGCAAGGUCCCCCUGCUCAAGAAUACAUAUACAUGCCCGUCUGAAGUUUGCCAAUGAACAUCUGAAUGACUCAGAGGACAACUGGUGAAAGUGU
ensembl:lncRNA